rnacentral:rRNA from 1 species
AUUGAACGCUGGCGGCAGGCCUAACACAUGCAAGUCGAACGGUAGCACAGAGAGCUUGCUCUUGGGUGACGAGUGGCGGACGGGUGAGUAAUGUCUGGGAAACUGCCUGAUGGAGGGGGAUAACUACUGGAAGCGGUAGCUAAUACCGCAUAACGUCGCAAGACCAAAGAGGGGGACCUUCGGGCCUCUUGCCAUCAGAUGUGCCCAGAUGGGAUUAGCUAGUAGGUGGGGUAAUGGCUCACCUAGGCGACGAUCCCUAGCUGGUCUGAGAGGAUGACCAGCCACACUGGAACUGAGACACGGUCCAGACUCCUACGGGAGGCAGCAGUGGGGAAUAUUGCACAAUGGGCGCAAGCCUGAUGCAGCCAUGCCGCGUGUAUGAAGAAGGCCUUCGGGUUGUAAAGUACUUUCAGUGAGGAGGAAGGCAAUACGGUUAAUAACCGUGUUGAUUGACGUUACUCGCAGAAGAAGCACCGGCUAACUCCGUGCCAGCAGCCGCGGUAAAAC